UGAUAAUGUCAUCUGCCCUCAGUUACAACCAGUAGGAGCAUCUUAUCUCUAGUAAUUUUACAUUAAAACUGCAAAUCCAGCAAGAUUAAUCCAAAGUACCACCAAAAACGGUGUUCUACCUGUGACCAGAAAAGAGAAUUUGUACACCAGGAAAUGAAAGAUAACAAUAAAACAGAACCAACCAACUCCUUAUAUGUAAGUCUGGUAAAAAUGAAAACAAACUUGCAGCAAAUACACGAUGCAAUGUGCAGUAACCUUGAAAUUUUGACCUGCAGCGAUCAGUACUUCCUUUUAGCCCACCAAAGAAGAACAACCAUGAGAAUCAACAGCAGCUGCUCAUGCUCUUGGCAUUCAGAGUUGUAAAAUACACUGCAGCUAAUAACCAAUUUAGCAGUCAAUGUUUUUGCUUUUCAGAGAUACAAAACGUAUUCCUUGCUUUCCAAGUUCCAAGUUCUUCUUCUUCCCAUCAUCAAGAGCAACAGACACAACCGAUGACCCUUCAAAGACUUCUACCACUGUGCCUCUAUGCCAGGCAUUAUCAGACGAAUGAUGAACUUCCACUCGCUUUCCUUUUGCAUCUUUUCCCAACUUCUGCAGUAUCCAGUUAGCAUCCAAAAACUCAUCCAUUGUAUUGUCUUCAUACCGCUGCGAUGAAUUAUCAUCAGCCCUGGUUGAUGCUUUUUCUCCGAAGGCUGGUGCUCUUUUUCUCUUAGACCUCUGGCCCUUAACCAUGCUUUUAUCCUCCUCUCCCGGGGAAGCCCAGGCAUUUUGAUUGUCAUGGUAAGGAUUCUUGAACUUGAGCUUCAGCAGAGGUUUUGGAUCCUUUCUCGUUGAAUUUGAUACUGAAGGUGUGCUAAUUUUCUCGUCAUUCAGGUCAUCACAAGAAGCAGGCCCAGCUUCGGCAUGUUUUACAGAAGCCAAUUUGUUGUCCCUUGUAGCAGGAACUUCAGCUCCAGCCCUUGUAACAACACUACCGUCAUUGCUCCUUUUUCCUAUUAUACCAAAAGUCUUCAGUGGAGGAUGAGGUCCAGAUCCAUCAGCAAAAUUUCCACCAACUUUGGCAGGGAAAUUAGUACCUUCUGAGCUAACUUUCUUGAUCUUUAUUAAGUUGCUUUCUUUACCCCUAUGAUUUUGACCCUUUAUUUGGUCCAUAUGAUCCACCUUAUGCCCUUUUCCACCACCAAGUUUAGCUGCAGUAUCAUUCCUUUCCGAGUUCUCAUUCUCUCUCAGCUGAACUAGAUCCUCACUACCAUUUGAAGUAGUCAAAUCUUGCUCUUUCUGACAGCUUGAAGCAUCAGACUUUGGGGAACCUGCUAUAUUUUUAUUCCGCGAGCCCAAAUGUAUAACAAGCUUUGGCCCCUUA
rnacentral:misc_RNA from 1 species